CCAAGGCUUGACAUAUAGAGGAAAAGUGCAGAAAUGCACUCCCCGCAAGGUCUCUAUACAGGUGGUGCAUGGUUGUCGUCAGCUCGUGUCGUGAGAUGUUGGGUUAAGUCCCGCAACGAGCGCAACCCUCGUCCUAUGUUGCCAGCACGUUAUGGUGGGAACUCAUGGGAUACUGCCGGGGUCAACUCGGAGGAAGGUGGGGAUGACGUCAAAUCAUCAUGCCCCUUAUGUCUUGGGCUUCACGCAUGCUACAAUGGCCGGUACAGAGGGCUGCAAUACCGCAAGGUGGAGCGAAUCCCAAAAAGCCGGUCUCAGUUCGGAUUGAGGUCUGCGACUCGACCUCAUGAAGUCGGAGUCGCUAGUAAUCGUAGAUCAGCAACGCUACGGUGAAUACGUUCCCGGGUCUUGUACACACGCAAUC
rnacentral:rRNA from 1 species